rnacentral:rRNA from 1 species
UAGAGUUUGAUCAUGGCUCAGGACGAACGCUGGCGGCGUGCUUAACACAUGCAAGUCGAGCGGUAAGGCCCUUCGGGGUACACGAGCGGCGAACGGGUGAGUAACACGUGGGUGAUCUGCCCUGUACUUCGGGAUAAGCCUGGGAAACUGGGUCUAAUACCGGAUAUGACCUUACAUCGCAUGGUGUUUGGUGGAAAGAUUUAUCGGUACAGGAUGGGCCCGCGGCCUAUCAGCUUGUUGGUGGGGUAAUGGCCUACCAAGGCGACGACGGGUAGCCGGCCUGAGAGGGCGACCGGCCACACUGGGACUGAGACACGGCCCAGACUCCUACGGGAGGCAGCAGUGGGGAAUAUUGCACAAUGGGCGAAAGCCUGAUGCAGCGACGCCGCGUGAGGGAUGACGGCCUUCGGGUUGUAAACCUCUUUCGACAGGGACGAAGCGCAAGUGACGGUACCUGUAGAAGAAGCACCGGCCAACUACGUGCCAGCAGCCGCGGUAAUACGUAGGGUGCGAGCGUUGUCCGGAAUUACUGGGCGUAAAGAGCUUGUAGGCGGUUUGUCGCGUCGUCCGUGAAAACUUGGGGCUCAACCCCAAGCUUGCGGGCGAUACGGGCAGACUUGAGUACUGCAGGGGAGACUGGAAUUCCUGGUGUAGCGGUGAAAUGCGCAGAUAUCAGGAGGAACACCGGUGGCGAAGGCGGGUCUCUGGGCAGUAACUGACGCUGAGAAGCGAAAGCGUGGGUAGCGAACAGGAUUAGAUACCCUGGUAGUCCACGCCGUAAACGGUGGGCGCUAGGUGUGGGUUUCCUUCCACGGGAUCCGUGCCGUAGCUAACGCAUUAAGCGCCCCGCCCGGGAGUACG